ensembl:lncRNA
AAACACUUUUGUAGAACUUUUAGCUCGCGAACGGCCCGAUCGGAAGAGGACAGAGACACGCUGUGGGAUGCUUGGGGCUCGUGGAGUGAAUGCUCUCGUACCUGUGGAGGAGGAGCUUCAUACUCUCUCAGGCGAUGCCUCAGCUCCAGGACCUGUGAAGGACAGAAUAUCAAAUAUCGCACAUGCAGUAAUGUGGACUGCCCUCCAGAUGCCGGUGAUUUCCGCGCCCAACAGUGUUCAGCUCAUGCAGAUGUGCGAUACCAGGGUCAGUACCAUGAGUGGCUGCCUGUGUACAACGAUCCCGACAACCCCUGCGCACUCAAAUGCAAAGCAAAGGGUUCCGGUCUCGUGGUGGAGCUGGCGCCCAAGGUGCUGGAUGGGACUCGCUGUUACACCGAGUCUUUAGACAUGUGCAUCAGUGGAGUCUGUCAGAUUGUCGGUUGCGAUCAUGAGCUGGGGAGCACAUCAAAAGAGGACAACUGUGGCGUCUGCAAUGGAGACGGCUCAUCCUGUCGACUUGUGCGAGGACACUACAAAUCCCAGCAUGCUUCAGGAAAAGCUGAGGAUACUGUUGUCGUCAUUCCCUAUAAGAGUCGUCAUGUUCGUCUAGUCCUGAAAGGCCCGGAUCACUUGUAUGUGGAGAGUAAGACUCUACAAGGGGUGAAAGGGGAAUUAGUCUUAGACACGUCAGGCCAGUACCUCUUGGAGAACACCACCUUGGACUACCAGCAACUUUCUGAUAAGGAGGUCCUGAGAAUCACUGGCCCACUUGGAGCAGACUUCACUUAUUUUAAUAAAGUAGACAUAUCAACACUAAUUUCAUCAGCUGAUACAUAUAUAUAUAUAUAUAUAUAUAUAUAUAUAUAUAUAUAUUUUUUUUUUUUUUGGUCUGUAGGUUACCAGCUGACCUCCGCAGAGUGCUUUGACCUUCGGAGUGGUCGAGUUGUUGUAGAUCAGUAUUGCCACUAUUACCCAGAAAACGUCAAACCUAAACCCAAACUGCAGGAGUGCAACAUGGAGCCCUGUCUGGCCGGUGAUGGCUACAAACAAAUUAUGCCGUAUGACCUCUACCACCCGCUGCCUCGAUGGGAGAGCAGUCCCUGGACGGCCUGCUCCAUGUCCUGCGGCGGGGGAAUCCAAAGUCGCUCGGUGUCUUGUGUGGAGGAAGACAUGCAGGGAACCAUUACUCCCACUGAGGAGUGGAAGUGCCUGUACUCUCCAAGGACGGCUAUCCUGCAGCCCUGCAACACCUUCGACUGCCCGACUUGGCUGGCACAGGAGUGGUCACCAUGCACAGUGACCUGUGGUCAGGGGUUGCGCUACAGGGUGGUGUUAUGUAUCGAUCACAGGGGACUCCAUGCUGGAGGCUGCAACCCCACCACCAAACCCCACAUCAAGGAGGAGUGUCUGGUGACUGUGCCCUGCUACAAGUCCAUAGAUUCACUCCCAGUUGAGGCAAAACCUGUGUGGCAUAAGCAGGCCAUAGAGCUGGAAGAGGAAGUCACAGUGACCGAGGAGCCGACCUUCAUUCCAGGGCCCUGGCAGCCCUGCAGCCGAACAUGCGGCGCUGGAACCCAGCAACGAACUGUCAAGUGCCAGGUGCUGCUCUCCUUCUCCCAGACUGUUGCUGACCUGCCCGACGACGAGUGUGAGGGGGUCAAACCUGCAACAAGUCAGCCCUGCUACCGUACUCCCUGCUCUGGCGUUUUGGCCCAAGGAAAUGGAAAUGAAAACGAAAACGAAGGGGAGACACCUGAAAGAGAGGAACUGCACGACUGGGAGUACGAGGGGUUCACGGAGUGCUCAGAGAGUUGUGGGGGAGGUAUGGAUCAUUACAACCGAACUGAGGUUUUGAGGGUUGAAGAAUGUCAAAAUCCCAAGCCCAGCCCUUUCCAAGCUUGCAACCGAUUUGACUGCCCUCCCACGUGGGAAACACGGGACUGGGACCAGUGCUCCCAGAGCUGUGGUGGUGGAGUUCAAAAGAGGCAAGUCCUGUGCAAACAACGGUUGGCAGAUGGCAGCAUCCUGGAGCUGCCUGACACCUUCUGCUCUUCCAAGAUCCCUGCAAACCAGCAGCCCUGUGCCAAGCAGGAGUGCCCGCCGCAAUGGGUCACAACCAACUGGUCUGAGUGUUCAGUGACGUGUGGAAGCGGCAUUCAGAGACGUCAGACAGUUUGCAGAAAACAAGGCGACGAUCAGGCUGUAGACUCUAACAACUGUUCCCUGAAGGCCCAGCCAGUCAAAAUUCGUCCAUGCUCCCUCAGACUCUGUGACAACUCCAUCAAGCCUGAUCCUAGAAUACUGGCUCAGAGGAAGGUUUAUAUCCAGUGGAAGAAAAGCAAAAAGUUGCAGCUGGUAGUCGGAGGUUAUGCCUACCUCAUGCCUUGGACAACUGUGGUCCUUCGCUGCCCUACUCGCCACUUCCGAAAGGGCCACAUCCGGUGGUUGAAGGAAGGGAAGCCCUUGGUCGGCCUCCCACACCUCUCCGCAUCACUUGGAUCUGUAAAGAUUCAGCAGGUUCGUGCAUCUGAUGCCGGGGUGUACACGUGCGUUGCCGGCUGGGCGCGGGAACACCUGGUCCUACACAUUAUCGGCAGCAAGCAGAAACUCUCGGCUCCAGAUUCACGGCUCCUCAAAGGUGGACAACAAAACACUGGACGGGCAGGUGUGGCUCCGACGGGAGAAGGAUUUCAAGAGCUACCCAUCUCCCUCAACCAGUAUGACAAAAUUGUUGAGAAUUUGCUUGAACUCAAAGACUCUGCCCAAGAUGACAAAGACAUUAAUGACAAACCUCACUCCAGCGAAAAGAACAGGUCAAGCCUGGAGGGUGGGAGGGCCAAUGUAGAACUUUCCACUCCAGUUGUGCUUGUUGCUGAUACCCACAGGCUUGAUGAGCUCAUGCACAGCCUCUCCGAAGGCCUCAGAGGGCGACGGGGGGAACACCUCAUUGCUCAGUUGCUCAGCGAGCUCCUUAUGACACAAGGUGAAACCAACGAGUCCACUCUUCAUCCUCCAGAAAGUGCAGAAUCUUCCACACAAGGGCCUCUUCUUUAUAAACCAAGCGUCAAAGCUCAUGGAUCGAGGCCAAGAAACCCAAUAAUGGUCCAACACCCCAGGAAGGUUGGAGUGUUGCCAUCAUCUGAAAUGGUAGUACAAGUGGGGUUGCCAGCUUCGCUGCAGAAACCAGUUGCGAGUUUGGAGCUGAGAUGUGAGGCAGUGGGGAACCCUGAACCGUCACUGACCUGGACAAAGAACGGAAAAGAGUUGCAGUUUAACAGCAGAGUAGGCCUGUUGCCCACUGGCUCACUGAGGAUUCGGGCACCAAACAAAGCGGACGAGGGUUUGUACACCUGCACUGCCAGGAAUCGAUAUGGAUCGACGUCUCUUUCGUCUUGGCUGCAGAUUGCAGGUAAAGUCGAUGAACGCAGAAGCUCAAUAGUUAUUGUUUUUUGUUUGUUUUUUUGUGGAUGGAUCAGGUGGCGAGCAGACUUUUGGUCACCGUGUUCAGCCACUUGUGGAGGUGGUUCACAGACCAGGAGUGUCCGCUGCAUUAAAGGUCCAGAGGGCAGAUCGACAGAGGUGGAGAGCCGGCACUGUCGCGACGCAGGCCGGAGACCCUCUGACUCAAGGCUAUGCAACCUUCUGCCCUGUGCCAGAUGGGCCACCACCUCCUGGGGGCCGUGUCACGGUCAGUGUGUGGGUCCAAGUAUGGCCACACAGCAUCGCCACGUUUUCUGCCAAGACACAAAUGGAACCAAAGUGAGCUACAGGAUGUGCAGUGGACUCCACAGGCCCAGCUCACUGAAGAAUUGCUCCACAGUGGCCUGUGCGCUCCAUUGGCGUGCGGGUCCAUGGACGCAGUGCACCGCCACAUGUGGGCGCCAUGGUUUCCAGUCACGCCAGGUGACCUGUUUGCACCGUCGAACUGGCAGGACCGCACGUGAACAUCACUGCAUGUGGAGACCUCGCCCUCCAAGCUGGCAGCGAUGCAAUAUCCUGUCCUGUGGCAGAGGAGAGUGCAGAGACAGCACGAGGUACUGCGAGAGGGUUCGACAGCUGGAGCUCUGCCCGCUGCCCCAAUUUAAGAGCCGUUGCUGUCAGUCCUGCCGAAACACCUGA